rnacentral:rRNA from 1 species
AGAGUUUGAUCCUGGCUCAGAGCGAACGCUGGCGGCGUGCUUAACACAUGCAAGUCGAACGCGCAGCAUUCUGUAGCAAUACAGGGUGUGGGCGCGUGGCGAACGGGUGCGUAACACGUGGAUAACCUUCCUUCAGGUGGGGAAUAACCCAGUGAAAACUGGGCUAAUGCCGCAUAACAUGACGAUGGCACAUGCUGUUGUCUUCAAAGGCGCAAGUCGCCAGAAGAGGGAUCCGCGGCCGAUUAGCUUGUUGGCGAGGUAAUGGCUCACCAGGGCAUUGAUCGGUAGCCGGACUGAGAGGUUGGCCGGCCACACUGGAACUGAGACACGGUCCAGACUCCUACGGGAGGCAGCAGUGGGGAAUCUUGCACAAUGGACGAAAGUCUGAUGCAGCAACGCCGCGUGGGGGAUGAAGCUUCUCGGAGUGUAAACCCCUUUCGACCCGGAAGAAUGCCCGCAAGGGUUUGACGGUACGGGUAUAAGAAGCCCCGGCUAACUACGUGCCAGCAGCCGCGGUAAUACGUAGGGGGCCAGCGUUGCUCGGAAUUACUGGGCGUAAAGGGUCUGUAGGCGGUGCGGCAAGUCGAUAGUGAAAUCCCUAGGCUUAACCUAGGGGCUGCUAGCGAAAUUGCCGUGCUAGAGUGUGAGAGAGGCGAGUGGAAUUACGGGUGUAGCGGUGAAAUGCGUAGAUAUCCGUAGGAACAUCCGAGGCGAAAGCGGCUCGCUGGAUCACAACUGACGCUGAGAGACGAAAGCUAGGGGAGCAAACAGGAUUAGAUACCCUGGUAGUCCUAGCCCUAAACCAUCAGGACUUGGGGUUUGCCC